UACGUAGGGUGCGAGCGUUAAUCGGAAUUACUGGGCGUAAAGCGUGCGCAGGCGGUUUUGUAAGCCAGAUGUGAAAGCCCCGGGCUCAACCUGGGAAUGGCAUUUGGGACUGCAAGGCUUGAGUGCGGCAGAGGAGACUGGAAUUCCUGGUGUAGCAGUGAAAUGCGUAGAUAUCAGGAGGAACACCGAUGGCGAAGGCAGGUCUCUGGGCUGACACUGACGCUCAUGCACGAAAGCGUGGGGAGCAAACAGG
rnacentral:rRNA from 1 species